rnacentral:misc_RNA from 1 species
CCGGCAUUGUAACAAAUACCGAAAACAAUGUCUGCUGUACUAGGUUGUAAUGGGAUGUGAUUCUUUUUCAACAGUUUCAUCACUUCAACCAUGAAACUUACAUCAUUGUGUUCCUUAGCAUAUGACAGCAAAUGGUUGGCAGAGCCUAUGUUAGGACUCAAUCCAUAUACAUUAUGCUUCCACAAGGCCAUUUUCCCAAAGUCAAUGGCCCCAACUCGAGCACAUGCUUUAGUAACUUCACGGCAAAGAUGGCAAUUAA